CUUCUAUAGGAUCCCAGGCCAAGUUCGUCAGCAGCCCACCUGUAUUCAAGCUUCCCUUUUCCUUUUAGCAAAAAUUAACAAGAGCAGUAGGAGAGAUGGCCUUCAGGAGUGCUCGCUGUUCUUACAGGGGACCAGAGUGUGGAUCACAGCAUUCAGGUAUCAGCUGCAUGUAAAGAGAAGAGCCCUUCAGAAAUGCCGAGCUCAACACCCAGCACGACCAUCCAGUGGCAGUUUAACCCAGAAUGAUGCAGCCGCUUAGAACAUUAGCUUCUUCUGCUCACCGAGGGCAGCAAUAUCAGCCUGUGGAUCUGUUCUGCAGAGACACAGUUUGUGGAGCAGAACACUAUAGUAGAGGAUGGAGCAAGGGAAGCUUCCCACCUCAGGUAACCAGGAAAGAGGACACUUCCAGGUCCGACCAGCCAAAUGACAUACUUUCUCCAUCUAGCACUCAAAGUCAGAACCAGCGCUGUGAAGCCCGGGCCACCUGAGGAGGAUGUAGUGAGCUGCCAACGCCUCUGGCCUUACUUGCUGAGAAAAGAACAAAUGAACAGGUGUACAGCUUUAUUUUGUCAAUUCAGCCCAGACAUAUAGAGGUGUCAGGAAACAAGGCUCUCCUGCCCAUAUGAAACGCCUUAGACUUUCUCUCAGCCCCCGGCAUCCUCCACCCCCUGUGUACUAACUACACAGCGCCAGGACUGCUCCUCCUCGCCACCUUCUGCUGUCUCCACUUGUUCCCCCAGCUCAGCUCCAAUCCACCUCCACACUCGUUAGCCUUUAUUAAAGAACUGGCAAAGUACUGAGAAGGCCUUUCACACCCAGGUCUAUUUUCUAAGUCCAUUUUAGGAAGGCAAAGAGAUGGGAGGUGAAACCUGGCUUCCUAGAUCCAGGAAGAACUAAAUUGAAGAUGUUAUGCCUAUAGCAUUAAGUAUUUUCCUCAUGCCUUCUCUUACUUUAAAAAAAAAAUGAAGUCCAGACCUCAUACAGACCCUUUCCUAUAUCUCUUACAAUUUCAGGAUACUUAGAGAAGAGCCAAGCCACUCAUGUGAUCAGAGAGGGAAUUCUCUUUUGGAACAGUCAUCUUUCCAUCUUUUUUUCUGCUACAGUCAAAAUAAACACUUUCCAGAUGUUUACUCUGAGAAUGUGAUGGAGGCUCGAGAACAGGUGUGCUCUGGGUAGGGCGCUCUAGAGGAGCUGAUGAUAAAAACACAGUGGGAAGCAGGGUGAUGUACCCCUUGCUCCAGGGAAAGAAGAGGCAGAGA